rnacentral:rRNA from 1 species
CCUACGGGUGGCAGCAGUGGGGAAUAUUGCACAAUGGGGGGAACCCUGAUGCAGCGACGCCGCGUGAGUGAAGAAGUAUUUCGGUAUGUAAAGCUCUAUCAGCAGGGAAGAAGAUGACGGUACCUGACUAAGAAGCCCCGGCUAACUACGUGCCAGCAGCCGCGGUAAUACGUAGGGGGCAAGCGUUAUCCGGAUUUACUGGGUGUUAAGGGAGCGUAGACGGCAGGGCAAGUCUGGAGUGAAAGCCCGGGGACCAACCCCGGGACUGCUUUGGAAACUGCCAUGCUAGAGUGCUGGAGAGGUAAGCGGAAUUACUAGUGUAGCGGGGAAAUGCGUAGAUAUUAGGAGGAACACCAGUGGCGAAGGCGGCUUACUGGACAGUAACUGACGUUGAGGCUCGAAAGCGUGGGGAGCAAACAGGAUUAGAUACCCGAGUAGUC